CCGCAUGUAGCCUAGGGUCACCACACCAGGGGCAUUCAUGCUUCGUUUCAUUGCCAACCAUUUCGUAUCCAAAAUAAAUGGUAAACCACACAACCUAUUUUCAUUUGAACCACACAUAAUCCUAUAUGCCUCACUAUAAAUAAAGGCACCAAAGCUGUGCAUUGUUAGAGCAGUAAGAUUGUAUCACACAAAUUUGUUGCUUGCCUUCUAUCAAGAAAUAUUCAUGAGUACUUCAUCAAGGUUGAAAUGGCUGCCGUCUGUGAUAUUUGUGGUACUGGUAGAAUGCCAUGCGCCUUAGAUCAUGAGAAAAUAACACAAUUUCGGGUGAUAGGUCCAGACUCUCUUCGUUACAGGAUUGUGAAUCAAUAUCGUAAUGUCAUAUACUACGAGACCGACGCUGCUGCUGCCCAGUUCGACUACGGAGUUGACGA